UGAGUACGAGAUGCUACGGCAUCGAAGCAGUCUAUGUCAUACUUCCAAGAAAAGCUUGCAAUGUCAUAAACAAAUAAUGCCUGUACCAUAACCGACACAGGUGGGUAGGUAGAGUAUACUAAGGGGCGCGAGAUAACUCUCUCUAAGGAACUCGGCAAAAUGACUCCGUAACUUCGGGAGAAGGAGUGCCUUAUUUUUAUAAGGUUGCAAUAACAAGAUCCAAGCAACUGUUUACCAAAAACACAGGUCUCCGCUAAGUCGUAAGACGAUGUAUGGGGGCUGACGCCUGCCCAGUGCCAGAAGGUUAAAGAAGUUGGUUAGCAUUAGCGAAGCUGAUAACUGAAGCCCUGGUGAACGGCGGCCGUAACUAUAACGGUCCUAAGGUAGCGAAAUUCCUUGUCGGGUAAGUUCCGACCCGCACGAAAGGCGUAAUGAUUUGGAUACUGUCUCGGAGAGGGGCUCGGUGAAAUAGACUUGUCUGUGAAGAUGCGGACUACCUGCACCUGGACAGAAAGACCCUAUGAAGCUUUACUGUAACUUGAGAUUGAAAUUGGACUUUAUCUGCGCAGUAUAGGUGGGAGACGUUGAAAAUAUUCUUGCGGGAAUAUUGGAGUCAUCAGUGAGAUACCACUCUUAUAAUGUUAGAUUUCUAACUUUGUAUCAUUAUCUGGUCAAAGAACAGUUUCAGGCGGGCAGUUUGACUGGGGCGGUCGCCUCCCAAACGGUAACGGAGGCGCACAAAGGUUUCCUCUGAACGUGUAGAAAUCGUAUCUAGAGUGUAAAGGCAUAAGGAAGCUUGACUGUGAGACCUACAAGUCGAGCAGGGACGAAAGUCGGUCUUAGUGAUCUGACGGUGCUGAGUGGAAAGGCCGUCACUCAACGGAUAAAAGUUACUCUAGGAUAACAGGCUGAUCUCCCCCAAGAGUUCACAUCGACGGGGAGGUUUGGCACCUCGAUGUCGGCUCAUCGCAUCCUGGGGCGGUAGUACGUCCCAAGGGUUGGGCUGUUCGCCCAUGAAAGCGGUACGCGAGCUGGGUUCAGAACGUCGUGAGACAGUUCGGUCCAUAUCCGGUGUAGGCGUUAGAAUAUUGAGAGGAGCCUUCUUUAGUACGAGAGGACCGAGAAGGACAUACCUCUGGUGUACCAGUUAUCGUGCCAACGGUAAACGCUGGGUAGCCAUGUAUGGGAGGAUAACCGCUGAAAGCAUCUAAGUGGGAAGCCCACCUCAAGAUAAG
rnacentral:rRNA from 1 species